UGAUAAUCUCAAUUUCCACAAAGACGAGAAAAAGCGAAGAGAGGUGCUUCAAUCAAAGGCUGUGAAACUUAUUAGAAUAACAAUAUAACCCAUUAUCUAUGUUGGUCAACGUUUAUUCAUAAAUCUGGUCCUUCACCGUCACGUGUGCAUUGUAUUCUUGCCCAACUAACCAAUAGCAAUGUUUUAGGAAAGUCACCAAUCCGUGACUCGAACGUUAGGGAAACUGGAAAUUGCUAUUGGUGGAUUUGGUAAAAAUACAAUACACACGUGACGG